rnacentral:tRNA from 1 species
CAGAGAACAGUUUAAUGUAAAAUGCCAGCUUUGGGAGUCGGAGAUAAAAGUUUAAGUCCUUUUUUUCUGA